rnacentral:lncRNA from 1 species
AUUAUACUUUUAUUGUCUUCCGUAUUCAUAUUAGAUUUCAUUGCACAGUCAUUUGUAUUAAGUUGUACGUCCGAAUAAGUGCAUUAAUUAUAUUUUCUAAAAAAUUGUCAACAAAUCUGGAGAUUGUAGAGUGUCAUUAACUUUUCAGAAAGAGAUUAAAAAUGUGUGAUUAUAUUCACUGAAAACUAGGUAAGUAUUACAUUAUUUUUAAAUAAUGAUUUAUUAUGAUUUUUAAUAAUUUGUUCCAAUGCAAAAACAAUCAUCGAUUUUUGAACUGUUGUUAAUGAACACGUUCAUAAAGGCGAGAUAUUACUAUUGUAUAAAAUAUAAUCGAUGGUAUUAUUUACCUAUACAAAUAUUGACGUAUAAUUUUUAUUUGUACAUCUUGUAAGUUAUAAAACAAAAAUUAAUAACAAGUUAAAUAUGUAUUAUACCAAAAUAAAAAAAAAUAUAUAUGCAUUUGGUUAAAAUCAGUGAUUGAACAUAAAAUUUUUUUAUAAAAUACACUAAAAAUAAAUACCUAUAGAAAUAAUAAUAAAAAGACGUCCUCAGAUAAUGGAGACAGGUGUAGCCACUAUUAUAGGUAAUUUAAUGUAUAUCUGUAAGCAACACUAAACCAUUGUUAAACGAUUCUGAUCGCAUUUUAGUUGAUAUUGAUGCUUUGUUAACAAAAUGUAUGUUAUAUUAUGGUAAAAUAAUUAAACAGGCAUUUUGUAUUUUCUUUAAUAAUAUUUGUUUAAUGAUGUACCGAUUUUCCCGUUUUUCCAAGACUUUCACGACUUUUCCAAUUUAUUGGAAAAAUUAAAAAAUUAUCUCCCAAAAGUACCUUCCCAGUCAAACUUUCAGAAAAAGUAUUAUCAUUUUAAAUCGGAGCGAAAUUGCUGGUAGAAAAGUUGCACAUAGAAAAAAAGGCUAUAAUAUUUUUUUACUAAUACCUACAUUUCGUACAUUUUCUGUUUUUCCAAAAUUUUAUCCCGGUUUUUCCCAGAUAUUAUGAAAACCGCUUGAAAAAUCAAAAAAUGACCUCCCUAAAUUAUUAAGUUUACUUUCAUAAAAUAAGCUACACUUAAUACAUCGGAGCAAGAUUUCUGUUAGAAAAGUUUGCUCAACAAAUCGAGGGGUAUUUUUCGAUUAAAAUAGUCCAAGGGAGUGAUGGCUUGGGUCUCUACGUACUUCCAAAAUUGUUUUUGAAACACGGGUUCGAACUCGCGAACCCUAAAAUGUAAACAGGUAGACAAUAAUGAAACAGACAAUAUUUAGUUAUUUAACAUAACAUAUAAUAUAUGUAUAAUAUCGUAAAUUUAAAAAGCUAUAAUUUCGAAACUUAGUCAGUCCGCUUAAUUCUGACUUCACCAUCAUUCUUAAAUCGGCAAUACACAUAUGUUCCAAAAAAAAAAAAUUGAAAAAUUAGAUUUUUUCCAGAUAAUUUUUUACUCAACGAUUUGAUAUUAAAAUUCCUUUAUAAAAAAAAUACUACAUUAAAUUUAAAUUUUCUUUUUUUGACCACAAAGUAAGAUUCUUAAUGAACCUUCUGUUAAAUUUUUAAGCAUUUCUAUUAAGUCUAACAAUUUUACCAUAAUGUACAGAAUAAAAAUUACGUACAAAACUCGCAGAAUUAAAAUGUUUAUAAACAACUUAAAAAUGGAUUAAAUUUUUUGAAAAUUUUACCACGUCUAGAAAAGGCAAAUAUAAGUUUUCUAUUCAAAUUUAAUAAAACAACGAAUAUUUUUAAUUGAAUUACGACAAAUAACAAAAUUAAAAAAUAAUAAAAGCAUUAUUUUCGUAAAUUUCCUGUUUUUCAUGUUUUAUCCUGGUUUUUCCCAGAUAUUAUGAAAACCGCUUAUAAAAUUAAAAAAUAAUCUCACAUAAGUACCAUCAGGACAACAUUCCCUUUCAGAAAUAAUGCCACGCGUACAUAUCUGAAUAAGAUUUCUGGUAGAAUUUUUGUACACAGUAUAAAAAAAAAAAAGAAAAAAUGUAAACAUCUUAAUAAAAUCAAUACAUUCUUUGCUACACUCAGAAUCAAAAAUAUAUGUAGGUAUAAAGUAUAUGAGUACCUACAUGAAAAUGGAUUUUUGUAGAUACAUUCUAUUACUAAAUGUAUUGAUUUAUUUGAAGUUGGUGAAAUCGGGAAAGUAUUUAAUUGAAAAUGGUAAUCAUAGUUUCGUUUUUCUUGACAGAUUCAUAGUGUUUUAUUAAGUUCAAUGACUCCAUUAUCUUUAUCAUCUGUGAUUCUAUGAUGGACAUUUUUAUUUUUGAACUAAACAAACCUAUCUGUUUGGACCAAAGAGAGUCUAAGUUAAUUAGAUGAUUAUACAUUUAGCAUAUUCGAAGUGUUAAAGGCAUAUGUUACACCAUAGGUUGUAAAUAAUGUUGUAUGUUUAUUAGUUUUAUUCAUUGGAAUGACCAUUAUAAUACUGUCAAUUUUUAUUAAAGUCCAUUCGUUUGGUGAAUGUUACAGAAAAUGUUCUAAAGUACCUACUUAUAUUAAUUAAUAUAAAAUAGAAACGUAUUCCUUGGUUAUUUAAGGAUAACAUUAAAAUUCUGGAACUAUAUAACCAC